rnacentral:rRNA from 1 species
ACAGAGGUUGCAAACGUUGUUCGGAAUCACUGGGCAUAAAGCGCACGUAGGCGGCUAAUUAAGUUAGGUGUGAAAUCCCCCGGCUCAACCGGGGAACUGCGCCUGAUACUGAUUGGCUUGAGAACGGUAGGGGUGAGCGGAACUCCAGGUGGAGCGGUGAAAUGCGUAGAUAUCUGGAGGAACACCGGUGGCGAAAGCGGCUCACUGGACCGUAACUGACGCUGAUGUGCGAAAGCUAGGGUAGCAAACGGGA